GACGAACGCUGGCGGCGUGCCUAAUACAUGCAAGUCGAACGCAGUGGGGACGGGUGAGUAACACGUGGGUAACCUCCCAUCAGAGGGGAUAACACUUGGAAACAGGUGCUAAACCGAUACUGAUGGAUGGACCCGCGGGGCAUUAGCUAGUUGGUGAGGUAACGGCCCACCAAGGCCACGAUGCAUAGCCGACCUGAGCUGUGGACCUGUCACCCGUGUACUGGUACACGGCCCCGACUCCUACGGGAGGCAGCAGUAGGGAAUCUUCGGCAAUGGACGAAAGUCUGACCGAGCCACGCCGCGUGAGUGAAGAAGGUUUUCGGAUCGUAAAACUCUGUUGUUCGAUAAGCGGUAUCUAACCAGAAAGCCACGGCUAACUACGUGCCAGCAGCCGCGGUAAUAC
rnacentral:rRNA from 1 species